rnacentral:rRNA from 1 species
CACGUAGGGGGCAAGCGUUGUCCGGAUUUAUUGGGCGUAAAGAGCUCGUAGGUGGUUCGGUAAGUCGGGUGUUAAACCCCCAGGCUCAACCUGGGGACGCCACUCGAUACUGCUGUGACUAGAGUCCGGUAGGGUAGCGUGGAAUUCCUGUUGUAGCGGUGAAAUGCGCAGAUAUCAGGAGGAACACCAGCGGCGAAGGCGGCGCUCUGGGCCGGUACUGACACUGAGGAGCGAAAGCGUGGGUAGCAAACAGG